rnacentral:rRNA from 1 species
GACGAACGCUGGCGGCGUGCCUAAUACAUGCAAGUCGAGCGAAGUUUUUCUGGUGCUUGCACUAGAAAAACUUAGCGGCGAACGGGUGAGUAACACGUAAAGAACCUGCCUCAUAGACUGGGACAACUAUUGGAAACGAUAGCUAAUACCGGAUAACAGUAUUUCUCGCAUGAGAGAUAUUUAAAAGUUGGUUAUGCUAACACUAUGAGAUGGCUUUGCGGUGCAUUAGCUAGUUGGUGGGGUAAAGGCCCACCAAGGCGACGAUGCAUAGCCGACCUGAGAGGGUGAUCGGCCACACUGGGACUGAGACACGGCCCAGACUCCUACGGGAGGCAGCAGUAGGGAAUCUUCCGCAAUGGGCGAAAGCCUGACGGAGCAACGCCGCGUGAGUGAAGAAGGAUUUCGGUUCGUAAAGCGCUGUUGUUAGGGAAGAAUGGAUAUGUAGUAACUAUACAUGUAAGAGACGGUACCUAACCAGAAAGCCACGGCUAACUACGU